UACGGAGGAUCCGAGCGUUAUCCGGAUUUAUUGGGUUUAAAGGGUGCGCAGGCGGGGGAUUAAGUCGGCGGUGAAAUUUUGCAGCUCAACUGUAAAAGUGCCUUCGAAACUGGUUUCCUUGAGUGUAGAUGAAGUAGGCGGAAUUUGUAGUGUAGCGGUGAAAUGCAUAGAUAUCACGAGGAACUCCGAUUGCGCAGGCAGCUUACUAAACUACUACUGACGCUCAGGCACGAAGGCGUGGGGAUCAAACAGGAUUAGAUACCCGGGUAGUCCCU
rnacentral:rRNA from 1 species